rnacentral:piRNA from 1 species
CUUUGUGAUUUCUGAUGCUC